AAACCAACAGGGAUUGCCCCAGUAACGGCGAGUGAAGCGGCAAGAGCUCAAAUUUGAAAUCUGGCCUCCCUUGGGGGGUCCGAGUUGUAAUUUGUAGAGGAUGCUUCGGGUGUGGCCGCCGUCUAAGUUCCUUGGAACAGGACGUCGUAGAGGGUGAGAAUCCCGUCUUGGGCGGCCGGCCCGCGCCCGUGUGAAGCUCCUUCGACGAGUCGAGUUGUUUGGGAAUGCAGCUCUAAGCGGGUGGUAAAUUUCAUCUAAAGCUAAAUACUGGCCGGAGACCGAUAGCGCACAAGUAGAGUGAUCGAAAGGUUAAAAGCACCUUGAAAAGGGAGUUAAACAGCACGUGAAAUUGUUGAAAGGGAAGCGCUUGCGGCCAGACUCGAGGGGCGGGGUUCAGCGGGUGCGCGUCACCCGUGCACUCCCCGUCCCCUCGGGCCAGCAUCAGUUUCGACGGCCGGUCAAAGGCCCCCGGAAUGUGUCGUCUCUAGGGACGUCUUAUAGCCGGGGGUGCAAUGCGGCCCGCCGGGACUGAGGAACGCGCUCCGGCUCGGAUGCUGGCGUAAUGGCCGUAAGCGGC
rnacentral:rRNA from 1 species